UAAACAAACAGAUCCAAAAAAAAUCAACAAAAAGUUCACUGCUAAAAGGGGCAAUUUGGAUAUUUCAUUUUAAUUCUCUCUUUGAAGAACAAGCUCAAGCCUUCCCUGUUUCUAUCUUGAAGAACAAGCCCAUCGAUCUGAGCAACAUUUUCAACAAAACUAACUUAAUAGGCAUUAACCCUCCCUCCCCCACACUGAUGAACGAUAGCUCAUUUGAACAAAACCCGCCUUAUAGGCAUGAGACUUCUCUCUUUGUCCGACGAACUCGAAGUCAUCUAAGCUACACUUGGACAAAAUCCACCUGGAUCUACUGAAACAUCAACAAUGUAUUUGUGAUUCAUGCCAAGGCAUUGGCAGAGAAUGGAUUUGAACCACUUUACAAGCAUAAUUUUACAACAGAUCCAAAUGAGCAAGAAAACAUUUGCUUGUUACCUUUCUACAAUAACUGGUCCUGUUGAACUUUUUAUUUGUCAUCUGCCAAAGUGGCUUUCUGCAGGGAUCGUCCCUAUCUUUUAGAGCUCCAUCUGGAUAUAUAGGAGGCUUGGAGCUACUAUAAGGUAAUUGAUGGAGUGGAUUGCAACUCACUUUUAGAACGCAAUUCCAUUGCACAUCCACACCAAAUAGAUCGAGACUUCUUCGUUGUGUAGAACUAGGUUAUGCAGCAAAUAUUUUUUUUAAGUUUUCUAUUUCUCAAGCAAUAACUUUUAAAUAUCCGAAUUGUGCCUUUUAGCUGUGAACUCUCUGAUAAUUUUUUUGGAUCUGUUAGUUGAGGGAUUAAAAUCACUCACUUGAUAUAAUUGAAGGUUAAUAGUGCUAAGGUAGAUAACACAAGGAUUAAAAUAAGAAUAUAGCCUUAACACAGGGACUAAAAGUGCUGUUUUUCCGGACUGUUAAUUUAUUAUUUAUUUAAUCCAUUUCUUGCUGAUAUUUUUUGUAAAAUAUUAGGAUGGUUGUGUGUGCCGAUUCGAUUUCAGAUGCAAAGAUAGGAUCUUCACAAUGAAUGUUGGAAAUGGUAACCAAUUUCAUUAAUAUGUUUCCCUUCACUGGUCAUUUUAUUUAAUUGGUAUUGUGUGAAUUUCUUAUUGAUAUCUUAAGCUACAAAAGCAGAGAAAGCCAGAUUUGGCGUCAAAAAAUUCAAAACUUCAAAUAUUCAAUGUUUUCAUCGGUUAAGUUUGUAAUUUCCCUGUUAGUGGUCUCAACUAUUGAGAAGCAGCAACAUAAAUUAUUUAACUAUGCUUCAUUUAUUUCUAAUUUGAUUAUGCGAGUGGAGUUUAUUUUCUUUAAAUUUGGCGAAGGUCUUGUCUCAAUUUUAAGCAGAAAAAUCUCAAUUUUGUAUACCAUUAACGUUCUUCCAUGAUUCCCUUAUGUUAACUUGGUUAUUUACCUUUGAUGUCAGAUCUAUAUAUGUCGUCGUUUCAUAUAGGUAAAUAUUAUGUUAAUUAAGAAUUUUAAUAGUUUAACCUAUGAUUUGAAAUUGGGAUUUCUUGGAAUUCAAAUGAAAGUUUCAAAUUAGGAGAUUUUAGAAUUGAAUUGAUAAUUCUAUUUGGAGUUCAAAACAAAGACUACAAUAAAGAACUAUGGAUGACUCAUAUAGGGAGCUAAAGAAUUGAAUUUCCUCUGCUUGAGAAAAACUAUGGGAAUGUGUGGCAACAAUUUUAAAUCAAUUAUUUUGCUCGUGAAAGCUAUAAAGCAAGUUGUUCGUUUCUUUUCUAUUAGAUUUCUCUGAUAUGGAAUAAGUUGUAUUGAAAAUACAAAUACACAAUGAGUGAUAAUGAAGUAUGUGUUGGAGGUGAACGACAAAUGUUGUGUUAAAAUCCUAGAAUAGUACCUUGGGAUGAAGACCGCUCAGGGUCUUCUGGAGUUUCAAGUGCAACGAACGAAGGAGCCACAAGCAAAAUAGGUUCAUGAAAUUCAAAUGCAUCUCUAUCGAGGACAGUUCAUUUACAGAAGACACCGAGUGCUCCAUGAAAAUCAAAAAGUGCUUUUGAUUGGCUUCUGAAUAUCUUAUUUUCUAAAUAUGAGGUGAUGCAACAUAGUAAUAAAACAUUUUUUGUCUAAUCAAUAUGGUUUAUUUUUCAAAUGUGUGGUUUGAUGUUUAAUAAUGUGAUGCUUCUGAAUCGUGUUUUGACUGCUA